CCUACGGGUGGCAGCAGUCGAGAAUCAUUCACAAUGGGGGAAACCCUGAUGGUGCGACGCCGCGUGGGGGAAUGAAGGUCUUCGGAUUGUAAACCCCUGUCAUGUGGGAGCAAAUUAAAAAGAUAGUACCACACGAGGAAGAGACGGCUAACUCUGUGCCAGCGGCCGCGGUAAUACAGAGGUCUCAAGCGUUGUUCGGAAUCACUGGGCGUAAAGCGUGCGUAGGCUGUUUCGUAAGUCGUGUGUGAAAGGCGCGGGCUCAACCCGCGGACGGCACAUGAUACUGCGAGACUAGAGUAAUGGAGGGGGAACCGGAAUUCUCGGUGUAGCAGUGAAAUGCGUAGAUAUCGAGAGGAACACUCGUGGCGAAGGCGGGUUCCUGGACAUUAACUGACGCUGAGGCACGAAGGCCAGGGGAGCGAAAGGGAUUAGAUACCCUUAGUC
rnacentral:rRNA from 1 species